GUGGGGAAUAUUGGACAAUGGGCGAAAGCCUGAUCCAGCAAUGCCGCGUGAGUGAUGAAGGCCUUAGGGUUGUAAAGCUCUUUUACCAGGGAUGAUAAUGACAGUACCUGGAGAAUAAGCUCCGGCUAACUCCGUGCCAGCAGCCGCGGUAAUACGGAGGGAGCUAGCGUUGUUCGGAAUUACUGGGCGUAAAGCGCGCGUAGGCGGUUUAUCAAGUCAGGGGUGAAAUCCCGGGGCUCAUCCCCGGAACUGCCCUUGAAACUGGUUCACUAGAAUCCUGGAGAGGCGAGUGGAAUUCCGAGUGUAGAGGUGAAAUUCGUAGAUAUUCGGAAGAACACCAGUGGCGAAGGCGACUCGCUGGACAGGUAUUGACGCUGAGGUGCGAAAGCGUGGGGAGCAAACAGGAUUAGAAACCCUGGUAGUCC
rnacentral:rRNA from 1 species